UGUGUAGGCGGAUGCCUAAGUACCUUGUGAAAUCCCACGGCUCAACCGUGGAACUGCUUGGUAUACUGGGUGUCUUGAGCCACUUAGGGGUUACCGGAACAAACGGUGGAGCGGUGAAAUGCGUAGAUAUCGUUUGGAACGCCAAUGGUGAAAACAGGUAACUGGGAGUGCGCUGACGCUGAGACACGAAAGCCAGGGGAGCGAACG
rnacentral:rRNA from 1 species